rnacentral:tRNA from 1 species
GCGCCCGUAGCUCAGUUGGAUAGAGCGACGGCCUUCUAAGCCGUGGGUCGCAGGUUCGAAUCCUGCCGGGCGCG